rnacentral:rRNA from 1 species
UCCGAAGGGGGCUAGCGUUGUUCGGAAUCACUGGGCGUAAAGCACACGCAGGCGGAUCGAUAAGUCGGGGGUGAAAGCCCGGGGCUCAACCUCGGAAUUGCCUUCGAUACUGUCGGUCUCGAGUCCGGGAGAGGUGAGUGGAAUUCCUAGUGUAGAGGUGAAAUUCGUAGAUAUUCGGAAGAACACCAGUGGCGAAGGCGGCUCACUGGCCCGGUACUGACGCUCAGGUGCGAAAGCGUGGGGAGAAAACAGG